GCAAGGACCUCACCUGCAAGACAUGACUCCCAUGUGGCUGUUCCUCUUCCUGCUGUCAGCUCCCAGAUGUGUCCUGUCCCAGGUGCAGCUGCAGGAGUCGGGCCCAGGACUGGUGAAGCCCUCACAGACCCUCUCCCUCACCUGCUCUUUCUCUGGAUUCUCCAUCACAACCAGUGGUUACUACUGGAACUGGAUCUGCCAGCCCCCUGGGAAGGGGCUGGAGUGGAUUGGGCGCAUAUGUAGUAGUGGAGACACUGCCUACAGCCCCUCCCUCAAGAGCCGAACCUCCAUCUCCAGAGACACGUCCAAGAACCAGUUCUCCCUGCAGUUGAGCUCCGUGACCACCGAGGACACGGCCUUGUAUUACUGUGCGAGAUACACAGUGAGGAGAAGUCAGUGUGAGCCCAGAUGGAAGCAGGAAGCCCUGCUGGGCCCUGUUCCCG